rnacentral:miRNA from 1 species
UCUGAGUUCCUGGAGCCUGGUCU